rnacentral:lncRNA from 1 species
CAAAACAAUAUGAAAAAGGUGGAGGGCAAAAAUGUGGCCUCGUUAAAACCUUGCCUUAAAAAACCCCCAAAGGAGGAAAAUCCGGUCAAGGAAAAAGAGUACCACUACCCUCCCAAAUUACACAAAAAGAAAAAUAAAAUUAAUCUAGGACACCGGGUAAAAUAUCAGCAUUUGUCAUCUCACGUUCCUGCAUCAGUCAACCGAAAAAAAAUUUAAUUAUUUUCUGGAGUAAAAUAAGAUACUUAGAGCAUCAUAAAUCUUCAAAAAGACAUGCAGUCUGAUCAUCAACAUACAAACCUGUAAUUAAAGGUGGAUCUGGCCCUCGUGUACUAUGCAAUAUAGCAGUUCCAGAUAACACAGUGAUGAACCCUCAAAGUUUUGACGCUAUGCUGGUCACGC